rnacentral:pre_miRNA from 7 species
CUGUGUGUGAUGAUUAGGCAGUGUAUUGUUAGUUAGCUGCUCUUCAUACACCAGCAACUAACUACACUGCCACAUUAGCACAUCAC